UGGGGAAUAUUGGACAAUGGGGGGAACCCUGAUCCAGCCAUGCCGCGUGUGUGAAGAAGGCCUUAUGGUUGUAAAGCACUUUAAGCGAGGAGGAGGGUACUGGUAUUAAUACUACCAGGUACUGGACGCUACUCGCAGAAUAAGCACCGGCUAACUCUGUGUCAGCAGCCGCGGUAAUACAGAGGGUGCGAGCGUUAAUCGGAUUAACUGGGCGUAAAGCGUGCGUAGUCGGCUAAUUGAGUCGGAUGUGAAAUACCCGAGCUUAUCUUGGGAAUUGCAUUCUAUACUGGUUAGCUCGAGUGUGGGAGAGGAUGGUAGAGUUCCAGGUGUAGCGGUGAAAUUCGUAGAGAUCUGGAUGAAUACCGAUGGCGAAUGCAGCCAUCUGGCCUAACACUGACGCUGAGGUACGAAAGCAUGGGGAGCAAACAGG
rnacentral:rRNA from 1 species